UUCCGCCCCUUAUAGAAUCCAUUAUUGAUGGGAAGAUAUUAUUUCAUUAUUUUUAGAAUUAUUUUCUUUCAAUGGUUAUUAAAAUAUAACAUAACACCAUCACAGAAUUUUAAAUGCUUGUGACGUCACAUUUUAAGUGUGGCAACAUUGGUUUGCUUGCGUUUGACAGCGUAUCGAUGGGAGAGGGGAAUUGAAUUGCCCACGGAGAUCGUCAGCCAGCUAACGAGAGGGCAUUGGCUUUCUAGAAGUGUGUCGGAGUGGCAGGUCGGUAGCUUGAUAUUUUACCCACAAUUUCAAGAUCCAAAUUAUAAUUAAAGAUUGAAUCCAUCCAGCAUUAGGGAAUAUAAAGUUAUUAGUGAAUACGAAGUUGAAGAAUUUGAAUGCAGAUUUAAAAUGAGUUCCGGCCUGCCACCACUAUGAAAUCAUAAAAAAAAAGAAAACCUAAGACCACCAAGGUAGACCACUUCUAGAGAGACGGUCACUAGGAGACCAGCCUGGAAGAUCUCCAUAUCUAUCUUUUUCGCCUGUACCUUCAACUGUUUUUUUUUCCACCUGUUUUCUUGUACCUCCAGCAGGACAGUUGCAAGAGGGAGUUAGCACCCCCUUGUGCUCAUUGCAUCCCGGUCAAUUUGGGGAAUACACAGCAAGGAACGCACCGCAAGGAACAUUGGAAGAUUGUGAAAAGGGGUUUGUGUUGAUGAACAUUCGGUUUGCUCUAAGUAAAAAUUUAGACUGUUUUUUGUGAUUUUCAGGAUACUUAGUUUAUUCAUAUAGGUAGAGGAAAGGCUGCAAAUAUGGGCUGGUCUUGUAAUAUGGGCUAGGUGGGUUUCACAGCUAUUCGUUGCAUAUCUCUACAUUUUGACUAUUGCAAACGGUAUUUGACGAAGUUAAACUAUCACCGUAGCGAUGGCGCCACUGUGGUAGAUAUUUCCCAGUUUAUAAUAAUUGUUUGUCGGUUGGUGUGUCAAAACUUUUUCGGGUAAGUUGAUAAAUUCCAGUAUUUAAAAAUAAACACGAAUUUUAAAAAAACAUCUGUGUCACGUUGAAGCUCUAGUAUUAGUCUUUGAUAUAUGCUAAUGAGUUUUCUUCAAAUUGUCUGCUUUUAGACAUAACUUCUUUUGUUGUGCAAAGCAAGCGUGUUUACAAUAUGGGCUAGUGGCCCAUAUUUAGAACAAUGUAGCAAUGUAGGCAAAACGAAGUAGGAAAAGGCAAAGAAAAAAGGAAAGGAAAAGAAAUAAAAAAAGGAAAACGUAAGCAGGUUACCAAAGUCACAAAGGACCAAAAAAAGAAAUCGGGUUCUAGUAGCGAGGAUGAGAAGGAAUAUGUGCCUGCAGAUGAUGAGAGCGAUUACAAUGAGUUUCCUUCUACACAGCCUCCACAAGACGCAGCUGACGUAACGUGUAUGUUUUGCGAAGCACUUUUUUCAGAGGAUAAUCUUGGUGAAAUAUCGGUCAAGUGCUUCAUGUGUCAUUUUUAGGCACAUAAACGAGUGCGCUGGGGCCGAAAAAGAAGAAUACCUAUGUGUGUGACUUUUGCCAAUAGUUUUAGCCUACGAGUUAUUUAAUGGACUUUUUGUAUUUUAGAUAUUAAAAUAUAUUUGUCACGCAUUUAUCUCACUUCACACAAAUUUAGGACACAUUUUUCGGGGUAGCCCAUAUUUAGGAUCAUUAUUCAAACGGCGCAAAAGUACAAUUUUUCAUUAUUUGUACAUUUAAAACAGUUGUAUAUUUUUUAAUCAAUUUGGACUUUGGGCAGGUUAUAAGUAACUAAAUGUAGGUAUUCUUACGUACCUUUGGAAAUAAAAUAGAAUUUUUAUUCUUUUUUUACAAAGAAAAACAAAAUGGGUAGCCCAUAUUUGCAUCCUUUCCUCUACUUUAUAAAUUUAUUGCACAUAACCUUUCCCUUUUCAAGAUUUUUAUAGUAUUACAGAACAGUAUAAUAAUUGAUAGCGUUCCCCAAAGCUGCGUAACCUCCAUGGUGAGAAUCUCUGAGCUCAGAUACUUUCCCAUACAAUAGUGUUGGUACUCUUAUAUUUUUUUUAUUAUUCUUUGGCUUGUUUCCCUUUUAUAUAACUAUUUAAACUCCUUUAAUUAUUUUAGUAUAUUUUAAAUUAAAUUUUUCAAAUUAACUUCAAAUAUCAUUAAAAAUUUCUAUUAUUCAAAUUAUUUAACUUUAACUAUUAAUUUUUAUAUUAAAUUCGAAUAAAUCCCUAGUACCCAUCCCCUCAGGAAGGUACUAGUUUUACUUGCCAUUAUUAUUAAGAACCACGAGUCGGUAAAAGGAUCUUUGGUAUCCAGAACUCCGUUGGUUCACUUAGGGACUUGGUACCCGUCAACUCAUUGAGUUGUACAUACAUAUAUUAAAUAUCUUGUUCAUAUUAUCAGGUAGUAUUGAAUUAAGUGUACGUAUGAUAUUCGUACCAUUGUUAUUGGGUGAGGGUAGUUACUGCUAACCAAGUGUAAGUUGUACUUUCUGUAUUAGAGGUACCCUUAUUCAGAUUUUCUAACCUUAUUAAGAUUAUUCUUAGAUUAUAUUUGUAAGGUAAUUCUGUAAAUGACUUUCACUAGUAUUUUUUUUUUGUCAUGUUAGAGUUACAUACUAGUUACUUGUCUUAACUCGGAGAUUGUGAAAAUCUGGUAGUUACAUUCAAUAAAUAUACAUUUAUUGUGA
rnacentral:lncRNA from 1 species